rnacentral:rRNA from 1 species
GAUGAACACUAGCGGCAGGCCUAAUACAUGCAAGGCGAGGGGGCAGCAAUGUCACCGUCGUACGGGUGCGUAACGCGUAUGCAACCUACCUAUCACUGGGGGAUAGCCCGGGGAAACCCGGAUUAAUACCGCAUGACACAUUGAGAUCGCAUGGUUUUGAUUGUUAAAGAUUUAUUGGUGAUAGAUGGGCAUGCGUUCGAUUAGCUAGUUGGUAAGGUAACGGCUUACCAAGGCGACGAUCGAUAGGGGAGCUGAGAGGUUGAUCCCCCACACGGGAACGGAGAUACGGGCCCGACUCCGCCGGGAGGCAGAAGUAGGGAAUAAUGGGCAAUGGAUGCAAGUCUGACCCAGCCAUGCCGCGUGCCGGAAGAAGGUCCUCAGGAUUGUAAACGGCUUUUAUUCGGGAAGAAGAGCGAGGAUGCGUCCUUGUGUGACGGUACCGAAUGAAUAAGCACCGGCUAACUCCGUGCCAGCAGCCGCAGUAA